rnacentral:rRNA from 1 species
ACAGAGGUGGCAAGCGUUGUUCGGAAUUACUGGGCGUAAAGGGCGCGUAGGCGGCCUUGUCAGUCAGACGUGAAAUCCCCAGGCUUAACCUGGGAACUGCGUGUGAUACUGGAUGGCUUGAAUUCGGGAGAGGGAUGCAGAAUUCCAGGUGUAGCGGUGAAAUGCGUAGAUAUCUGGAGGAAUACCGGUGGCGAAGGCGGCAUCCUGGACCGACGUUGACGCUGAUGAGCGAAAGCUAGGGGAGCAAACGGGA